rnacentral:rRNA from 1 species
UCCUACGGGAGGCAGCAGUAAGGAAUAUUGGUCAAUGGGGGCAACCCUGAACCAGCCAUGCCGCGUGCAGGAAGACGGCCCUACGGGUUGUAAACUGCUUUUAUACCGGAAUAAACCUCUUUACGUGUAAAGAGUUGAAUGUACGGUAAGAAUAAGGAUCGGCUAACUCCGUGCCAGCAGCCGCGGUAAUACGGAGGAUCCAAGCGUUAUCCGGAUUUAUUGGGUUUAAAGGGUGCGUAGGCGGCCUGUUAAGUCAGGGGUGAAAGACGGUGGCUCAACCAUCGCAGUGCCCUUGAUACUGAUGGGCUUGAUUACACUUGAGGUAGGCGGAAUGUGACAAGUAGCGGUGAAAUGCAUAGAUAUGUCACAGAACACCAAUUGCGAAGGCAGCUUACUAAGGUGUUAAUGACGCUGAGGCACGAAAGCGUGGGGAUCAAACAGGAUUAGAUACCCUGGUAGUCCACGCCCUAAACGAUGAAUACUCGAUGUUAGCGAUAUACAGUUAGCGUCAAAGCGAAAGCGUUAAGUAUUCCACCUGGGGAGUACGCCCGCAAGGGUGAAACUCAAAGGAAUUGACGGGGGCCCGCACAAGCGGAGGAGCAUGUGGUUUAAUUCGAUGAUACGCGAGGAACCUUACCCGGGCUUGAAAGUUACUGAAUGAUCUAGAGAUAGAUCAGUCCGCAAGGACAGGAAACUAGGUGCUGCAUGGCUGUCGUCAGCUCGUGCCGUGAGGUGUUGGGUUAAGUCCCGCAACGAGCGCAACCCCUAUGUUUAGUUGCCAGCAUGUUAUGAUGGGGACUCUAAACAGACUGCCUGUGCAAACAGAGAGGAAGGAGGGGACGACGUCAAGUCAUCAUGGCCCUUACGUCCGGGGCUACACACGUGCUACAAUGGGCAGUACAGAGGGCAGCUACCUGGUAACAGGAUGCCAAUCUCAAAAAGCUGUUCACAGUUCGGAUUGAGGUCUGCAACUCGACCUCAUGAAGUUGGAUUCGCUAGUAAUCGCAUAUCAGCAAUGAUGCGGUGAAUACGUUCCCGGGCCUUGUACACACCGCAU